GCACUGCUGAUGAGAUCCGGACCAGGUCGAAACAGCCGUCCAGUGC
rfam:Echinostoma caproni strain Egypt genome assembly, scaffold: ECPE_scaffold0011031